CUCUUGUUUGCUUGUUUUGCAGUUGCAGAGAAAUCGCAGACAAACACGAUGUGGCAAUGCAAGUGUGGAGGUCAUGUGUGACCUUUGAACAGCAGAUCAAUGCUGCCACGCGAUGGUCCAGCAAGCUGCCCUCUCAUAUCAGACCUGGCUUUACGUGGCAGGGCAAAACAGACCCAUCGCAAUUAUCUGCACCCCUCCAUCUGCCCGUGGCCAGGACACGCAGCCCCCGACAGAAAGAGCAAAAUCAACCAAUUUUUUCAAGAAAAAGGUCACCUUUUGGGAAGUCCAGACUAAGCGAGUUUAAGAUGGACAGGUGGUCAGUGUCUGAUGCACUCCCAGCAGGUGUGACAGAGAGGAAACUGUGAGCACUGGGCACUGAGGUGCUGUAGAGAGGAAGACCAGCCUGACAGUGCAUGGAGGAGAAGUCUCCGUCUUUAAGCUUUAUUUUAAAGGCCUUUUAUCGCUGUCCAAGUAGCAUCUGCACCCAGACCCUCUGGGUAAAGAGACAGAAGAUGAAAUCAAAAGAGAUUCCACUCAGUGAGUUUCUCAAUGGACUGGAUCAAAUGAACCCUUCAGUUCUGUUACCUACAGCGUACAGUCAAACCUAAUUACAAGCUAAUGUAACUCCAACGCCACUCCCCCCCUUUUACAGUUUAA